GGACCAAGGAGUCUAGCAUGUGCGCGAGUCAUUGGGACUAUCUAAACCUAAAGGCGCAAUGAAAGUGAAGGCUCGCCUUGCGCGAGCCGAGGGAGGAUGGGUUGAGAUACUUUUCAGCCCCGCACUCCCGGGGCGUCUCGUUCUCUUCGAGAAGAGGCGCACCCAGAGCGUACACGCUGGGACCCGAAAGAUGGUGAACUAUGCCUGGUCAGGACGAAGUCAGGGGAAACCCUGAUGGAGGUCCGUAGCGAUUCUGACGUGCAAAUCGAUCGUCGGAACUGGGUAUAGGGGCGAAAGACUAAUCGAACCAUCUAGUAGCUGGUUCCCUCCGAAGUUUCCCUCAGGAUAGCUGGCGCUCGCUUUGCGAGUCUCAUCCGGUAAAGCGAAUGAUUAGAGGCAUUGGGGUCGAAACGGCCUCAACCUAUUCUCAAACUUUAAAUGGGUGAGAUCUCCGGCUUGCUCGAACUUGAAGCCGCGAGAUUUUACACGGAUCAGAGUGCCAAGUGGGCCACUUUUGGUAAGCAGAACUGGCGCUGUGGGAUGAACCAAACGCCGAGUUAAAGCGCCUAAAUCGACGCUUAUGGGAUACCAUGAAAGGCGUU
rnacentral:rRNA from 1 species